rnacentral:rRNA from 1 species
AGCUCCAAUAGCGUAUAUUAAAGUUGUUGCAGUUAAAAAGCUCGUAGUUGGAUUUCUGGUAGGAGCAUACAAUUUCUCACAAAGUGGGGAUAUAUGUAUUGUCUCCGGCCAUCCUUGGGUGGAAACUAUUUGGCAUUAAGUUGUUGAGUAGUUGAUACCCAUCAUUUACUGUGAAAAAAUAGAGUGUUCAAAGCAGGCUUAUGCCAUUGAAUAUAUUAGCAUGGAAUAAUAAGAUAGGACUCUGGUACUAUUUUGUUGGUUUGUGUACCAUUGUAAUGAUUAAUAGGGACAGUUGGGGGUAUUUGUAUUCAGUUGUCAGAGGUGAAAUUCUUGGAUUUACGGAAGAC